GACGAACCGAGCGAACGUUGUUCGGAAUCACUGGGCGUAAAGGGCGCGUAGGCGGCCUAGCAAGUCGGGGGUGAAAGCCUGUGGCUCAACCACAGAAUGGCCUUCGAUACUGUUGGGCUCGAGACCGGAAGAGGUUGGUGGAACUGCGAGUGUAGAGGUGAAAUUCGUAGAUAUUCGCAAGAACACCAGUGGCGAAGGCGGACCAACUGGUCCGGUUCUGGACGCUGAGGCGCGAAAGCGUGGGGAGCAAACAGG
rnacentral:rRNA from 1 species